rnacentral:sRNA from 1 species
AGCAGCCGCGGUAAUUCCAGCUCCAAUAGCGUAUAUUAAAGUUGUUGCAGUUAAAAAGCUCGUAGUUGAAUUUCGGGGUUCUACCGUUGGUCGGGCUAUAGUCUGUACUGGCGUGUGGAAUUUCUACCUUCUGGGGAACUAUCAUGUUAUUAAUUUAGCGUGGUAGGAAACCAGAACCUUUACCUUGAAAAAUUAGAGUGUUCAAAGCAGGCUUACGUCUGAAUACAUUAGCAUGGAAUAAUAAAAUAGGACGGUGGUCCUGUUUUGUUGGUUUCUGAAUCACCGUAAUGAUUAAUAGGGAUAGUUGGGGGCAUUAGUAUUCAAUUGUCAGAGGUGAAAUUCUUGGAUUU